CGAAGGCUUCGGCCUUAGUGGCGCACGGGUGCGUAACGCGUGGGAAUCUGCCCUCAGGUUCGGAAUAACAGCGAGAAAUUGCUGCUAAUACCGGAUGAUAUCGCGAGAUCAAAGAUUUAUCGCCUGAGGAUGAGCCCGCGUAGGAUUAGCUAGUUGGUGUGGUAAAGGCGCACCAAGGCGACGAUCCUUAGCUGGUCUGAGAGGAUGAUCAGCCACACUGGGACUGAGACACGGCCCAGACUCCUACGGGAGGCAGCAGUGGGGAAUAUUGGACAAUGGGCGAAAGCCUGAUCCAGCAAUGCCGCGUGAGUGAUGAAGGCCUUAGGGUUGUAAAGCUCUUUUACCCGGGAUGAUAAUGACAGUACCGGGAGAAUAAGCUCCGGCUAACUCCGUGCCAGCAGCCGCGGUAAUACGGAGGGAGCUAGCGUUAUUCGGAAUUACU
rnacentral:rRNA from 1 species